ACGAACGCUGGCGGCGUGCCUAAUACAUGCAAGUAGAACGCUGAAGAGAGGAGCUUGCUCUUCUUGGAUGAGUUGCGAACGGGUGAGUAACGCGUAGGUAACCUGCCUUGUAGCGGGGGAUAACUAUUGGAAACGAUAGCUAAUACCGCAUAGCAAUAGGUGACACAUGUCAUUUAUUUGAAAGGGGCAAUUGCUCCACUACAAGAUGGACCUGCGUUGUAUUAGCUAGUAGGUGAGGUAACGGCUCACCUAGGCGACGAUACAUAGCCGACCUGAGAGGGUGAUCGGCCACACUGGGACUGAGACACGGCCCAGACUCCUACGGGAGGCAGCAGUAGGGAAUCUUCGGCAAUGGGGGCAACCCUGACCGAGCAACGCCGCGUGAGUGAAGAAGGUUUUCGGAUCGUAAAGCUCUGUUGUAAGUCAAGAACGAGUGUGAGAGUGGAAAGUUCACACUGUGACGGUAGCUUACCAGAAAGGGACGGCUAACUACGUGCCAGCAGCCGCGGUAAUACGUAGGUCCCGAGCGUUGUCCGGAUUUAUUGGGCGUAAAGCGAGCGCAGGCGGUUUGAUAAGUCUGAAGUUAAAGGCUGUGGCUCAACCAUAGUUCGCUUUGGAAACUGUCAAACUUGAGUGCAGAAGGGGAGAGUGGAAUUCCAUGUGUAGCGGUGAAAUGCGUAGAUAUAUGGAGGAACACCGGUGGCGAAAGCGGCUCUCUGGUCUGUAACUGACGCUGAGGCUCGAAAGCGUGGGGAGCGAACAGGAUUAGAUACCCUGGUAGUCCACGCCGUAAACGAUGAGUGCUAGGUGUUGGAUCCUUUCCGGGAUUCAGUGCCGCAGCUAACGCAUUAAGCACUCCGCCUGGGGAGUACGACCGCAAGGUUGAAACUCAAAGGAAUUGACGGGGGCCCGCACAAGCGGUGGAGCAUGUGGUUUAAUUCGAAGCAACGCGAAGGACCUUACCAGGUCUUGACAUCCCGAUGCUAUUUCUAGAGAUAGAAAGUUACUUCGGUACAUCGGUGACAGGUGGUGCAUGGUUGUCGUCAGCUCGUGUCGUGAGAUGUUGGGUUAAGUCCCGCAACGAGCGCAACCCCUAUUGUUAGUUGCCAUCAUUCAGUUGGGCACUCUAGCGAGACUGCCGGUAAUAAACCGGAGGAAGGUGGGGAUGACGUCAAAUCAUCAUGCCCCUUAUGACCUGGGCUACACACGUGCUACAAUGGUUGGUACAACGAGUUGCGAGUCGGUGACGGCAAGCUAAUCUCUUAAAGCCAAUCUCAGUUCGGAUUGUAGGCUGCAACUCGCCUACAUGAAGUCGGAAUCGCUAGUAAUCGCGGAUCAGCACGCCGCGGUGAAUACGUUCCCGGGCCUUGUACACACCGCCCGUCACACCACGAGAGUUUGUAACACCCGAAGUAAGUGAGGUAACCUUUUGGAGCCAGCCGCCUAAGGU
rnacentral:rRNA from 1 species